CGGUUACUUGUUUUUCUCAGAAUUUUUUUUGACAAAAGCAAGUAAAGGUAAAAGCUUAACUAACGCAUGUCCUUGCUGUGGCGAUCACCGAGGGUAUGCGUUUUUUU
rfam:Lactobacillus nodensis DSM 19682 = JCM 14932 = NBRC 107160 strain DSM 19682 NODE_45, whole genome shotgun sequence.